UACGCAGGGGGCUAGCGUUGCUCGGAAUCACUGGGCGUAAAGGGUGCGUAGGCGGGUCUUUAAGUCAGGGGGGAAAUCCUGGAGCUCAACUCCAGAACUGCCUUUGAUACUGAGGAUCUUGAGUUCGGGAGAGGUGAGUGGAACUGCGAGUGUAGAGGUGAAAUUCGUAGAUAUUCGCAAGAACACCAGUGGCGAAGGCGGCUCACUGGCCCGAUACUGACGCUGAGGCACGAAAGCGUGGGGAGCAAACAGG
rnacentral:rRNA from 1 species